GAAAAGGCUCCUAUCGAAGCCGUUCAUGCUCCCAUGUAGCAGUGAACGGUCAAAAGGAAGCCGACAUGAAGACUUUCACCGACGGUCGCUGUUCGGUUUUGAAAAUGACUGCUACAGCAACAUUUAGGGGAAGGACAUUG
ensembl:snoRNA small nucleolar RNA SNORA16B/SNORA16A family